GAUGGUUAACUGGCAAACCACUUUCAAAAGGAGCCACCCAGCCGAGCAUGCUGGUACAGCCUUGUGAUCCCAGCACUCGGGAGGCCGAGGCAACAGCACUGGUGCAAGUUCAAGGCCAGUCUGGGCUACAGAGUGACCUGAAGGCCAACCUGAAUUACAUGAAACACGACAUAUAAAUAAAGUACGAUAUAACAGAUAAUGGGAAAAAAAAAGAAAAAAAGUUCUUGUAAUCCAGUAUGGACUAUGUAUCUGAAGUGAGGAAAGCAAAACAGUGACAUGGACACCUGAACAAUGGGUGUGGCAGUGUCACCACCACCCGGAGCCUCCCCAGCGCAGACGGAGUGCAGGGCCUCACAUACACUGCAAAGAAACACGGCUUCCGGAGACGGCCCAGCUACCGGCUCAGGGACGGCAGGCGUGGGUCCUCGCCUUCGGCCUGCCACUCGGACUCCUUUCAAUGCAGCCACCAGGCAGCUUCCCUUUAGGGAUUCUGGAAAAUGCGCAGCUAGGGACAAGCAGCCUCGCAGGCGGCCAGACCUAGGAGUGCUUCGUGACCCAGCGGCAGGUGUCAUGAAAAUCGUGCCUACGUCCCCACCCACCUCUCUCCUCCUUCUGAGUAACGAGGGGCCUUUCUGACUCCCAGCCAGGCAAUUCUGCUCCAAAUUACACGAUUUUAUGCUGCUUGCUGAAAUUAUAUACGGUCUUGUGCUACUUGCUAAUUGUUUCGUAUGUACAAUUGCCUUUUUUUCUUCAAAUAAA